rnacentral:tRNA from 1 species
GCCUGGCUGGCUCACGCGGAAGAGCAAGGGACUCUUGAUCUCUGGGUUGUGAGUUCGAGUCCCACGUUGGGUG